GGUAAGUUGGCUCAAUGGCAGAGUGCUUGCCUUACAAGCAUGAGGCCCUGGGUUCGAUUCCUCAGCCA
rnacentral:tRNA from 1 species